GGCGCAGGGGCGGGGCUGUGGCUGGGCGGGGCCGGGGAGAAGGGACUCAGGAGGUGGGACCCGAAAGUGGGCGGGCCUGAAAGUGGGAGGGCCUGGCAGCGGCAGGGUCGAGCCUGGGCGACCCCGAGCGUUGGUCCCCGGCGGCCAUGAUGAGGCCCCGCCUUCCCGCUUCUGCUGCUGCUUGUUUGGCCGCCGGCGCCAAUCCCCGAGGAUCAUCUAUCCUUUGGUGCAGGCAAAAAGCAAGUAGCAAUUGGUCAGGGAGAAUUGUUGACCAAAAGUUGUGCAUCACUUUCUCAGAAAAAAUCUCAUAGGACGAGGAAUUUGAUCUGGGUGCGCGUAUAGCAAAGUGGCGAUCACGCUAAUUUGGGGCAGUCCACAAAA
rnacentral:lncRNA from 1 species